rnacentral:rRNA from 1 species
AUACGGAGGGUGCGAGCGUUAAUCGGAAUUACUGGGCGUAAAGCGCGCGUAGGCGGUUUAGUAAGUCGGAUGUGAAAGCCCUGGGCUCAACCUGGGAAUUGCAUUCGAUACUGCUGGACUAGAGUAUGGUAGAGGGAAGUGGAAUUUCCGGUGUAGCGGUGAAAUGCGUAGAUAUCCGAAGGAACACCAGUGGCGAAGGCGACUUCCUGGGCCAAUACUGACGCUGAGGUGCGAAAGCGUGGGGAGCAAACAGGAUUAGAAACCCGGGUAGUCC